rnacentral:rRNA from 1 species
UGGCGGACGGGUGAGUAACGCGUGGAUAACCUUCCUUGUACUGGGGGACAACAGUUAGAAAUGACUGCUAAUACCGCAUAAGCGCACAGUACCGCAUGGUACGGUGUGAAAAACCCAGGUGGUGUGAGAUGGAUCCGCGUCUGAUUAGCCAGUUGGCGGGGUAACGGCCCACCAAAGCGACGAUCAGUAGCCGACCUGAGAGGGUGACCGGCCACAUUGGGACUGAGACACGGCCCAA